AGAGGAGUCUGCACUCGGAGAAUCUUUCUGUAAGAAGUCUUCGGACGUGGGUUCGACUCCCACCGCCUCCACCA
rnacentral:tRNA from 1 species